GGAGAGUGCUUUUGUGCUUCUGCCCUGUUUGGGGGCUUCCCACAGAGGCUGCCCACUGUAAGAAUGCAAUGCUGAAAUAGAUGCUGCGAGUCCAGACAGACUAGCAGAAUCCAACAUGACUGGCACAGCUACAAUUGUGCAAGACAGCAAUGGUAACUCUAAACUCCCAUGCUGAGAAGCAUCUCUCCUCUCUGAGGCACCUCCUGCUGUGAUUCCUGAUUUGCUGCUACCGUUCUGCAAGAAGCAACAUCUGGAAGAAUCUUUAGAGUGAUUGAUCUGCAUUUCAUACCUCCACUUUGCCAGACCAGAGGAAUCAGAAAUAGCAUUUUUUGGGGAAACAUUGUAUACCAUAAAAAGACAAUUAGGAUGCCUCUUUCUACUCUGCCUAACAUUAUGUUUGUACUUGGAAUAGUUUUGCUAUUCUAAGGAUUAUCUGACAUUAAGUGAAGAGCUUUAAGAGUUUUAUGAACUGAAUAAAAUGAUAUUGCAAACUGC